UUAGCUCAAUGUAACUCUAUUAUCAGUAGUGGCCUGGGAGCCAGAUCUCACGUCAGCGGCCCAGAGCUGGUGUCCUUGUCGUGCCUAAAAAUAUAAGCUCACAUGUGCCAUGCUGUGCACCUAGUGAAGCAGCCCCAUCAGAAUACAUGGAUACCUGGUGCAUUAGCGACCUGGGGUGAGUCAGCAGCCGCCUGUGAGGCCAUCAGUGAGGAACAGCGUGUACCAGAGCCUGCAGAAAGAAAUGUUCCUGUAGCUACGCGCUGAUGGGGCACAUCCCAGCAGCCUUGUGAUGCUUAGGAACAGUAGACAACAUGUCAGCAUUGUAUUUGGGGGCCAUUUUAAACAGUGAAAUUAACAAAAGUCACAAAAUACAAAAAACCUGGCACGAAAUAUAUACUUUACAGUAUGAGAGCUGCAAACAAGAAGGCAGAGUGUAGCCUUGUUUUACCUCAGCUGGGCGUGUGUGUGAUGUGGCAACUCAAACUUUCUGCUGCUCUGCACAUGGCCACAUCCACAAAUGACCUCCAAAACACUGGUUUUUCAACAUUGGCACUAUUUAAUUUUGGGUUGCAUAAUUCUUUGUUGUGGAGUGUUGUCCUCUGUAUUGUAGGACAUUUAACAGCAUCUCUGCAUCCCUGGACUCUAUCAAGACAUACAUUCCCCAGAUGCAACAAACAAAUACGUCUCCAGACAUUGCCAAAUGUCCCUGAGGGGCAAUUGUGCAAAUUAGCACCGCAUGCUAAUUCUGUCAAUUGCUGUGCCAAUAUCAAGUGGACAUUGUACCUUUUUAAAAUGUCUUUUAUCUGAUAGGGUAAGUCUCUCCUUUCUUUUCCUUUUAAAAA